AUCGAAUUGUAUGAAUUGUUUGGUUAAAACCUUGAAAAAAUGAUAGGCACCUGUUAUUAUUAAACUAUUAUUUUUGUUCGUGAAUAUGGAAAGUCAGAAACACGUUUUCGUCUUGAAAUGUUUGAAAGAGCAAGAAUAGUAAUAUUUACGUGGUUUAGCCACAAGGAGGAACAAACAUGUUACAAGGUAAAGUAAAAUGGUUUAAUGCAGAAAAAGGUUUUGGAUUCAUCGAAGUUGAAGGUCAAGACGACGUAUUCGUACACUUCUCCGCAAUCCAAGGCGAAGGUUUCAAAACUUUAGAAGAAGGUCAAGAAGUAUCUUUCGAAAUCGUUGAAGGUGCUCGUGGACCUCAAGCUGCUAACGUUACAAAAUAAUGCUAGCCAAAUAGAAAAGGACUCCAUCGCGGAGUCCUUUUUAUU
rnacentral:sRNA from 1 species